GGAGGCUAUAUACAGGGGUACCGGUACAGAGUCAAUGUGGAGGCUAUAUACAGGGGGUACCAGUACAGAGUCAAUGUGGAGGCUAUAUACAGGGGUACCAGUACAGAGUCAAUGUGGAGGCUAUAUACAGGGGGUACCGGUACAGAGUCAAUGUGGAGGCUAUAUACAGGGGGUACCAGUACAGAGUCAAUGUGGAGGCUAUAUACAGGGGGUACCAGUACAGAGUCAAUGUGGAGACUAUAUACAGGGGGUACCGGUACUGAGUCAAUGUGGAGGAUAUAUACAGGGGGUACCGGUACAGAGUCAAUGUGGAGGUUAUAUACAGGGGGUACAGGUACAGAGUCAAUGUGGAGGUUAUAUACAGGGGGUACCGGUACAGAGGCAAUGUGGAGGCUAUAUACAGGGGGUACCGGUACAGAGUCAAUGUGGAGGUUAUAUACAGGGGGUACAGGUACAGAGUCAAUGUGGAGGCUAUAUACAGGGGGUACCGGUACAGAGUCAAUGUGGAGGUUAUAUACAGGGGGUACCAGUACAGAGUCAAUGUGGAGGCUAUAUACAGGGGGUACCGGUACAGAGUCAAUGUGGAGGUUAUAUACAGGGGGUACCAGUACAGAGUCAAUGUGGAGGCUAUAUACAGGGGUACCGGUACAGAGUCAAUGUGGAGGUUAUAUACAGGGGGUACCGGUACAGAGUCAAUGUGGAGGAUAUAUACAGGGGGUACCGGUACAGAGUCAAUGUGGAGGAUAUAUACAGGGGGUACCGGUACAGAGUCAAUGUGGAGGAUAUAUACAGGGGGUACCAGUACAGAGUCAAUGUGGAGGUUAUAUACAGGGGGUACCGGUAUAGAGGCAAAGUGGAGGUUAUAUACAGGGGAUACCGGUAUAGAGGCAAUGUGGAGGAUAUAUACAGGGGGUACCAGUACAGAGUCAAUGUGGAGGUUAUAUACAGGGGGUACCGGUAUAGAGGCAAAGUGGAGGAUAUAUACAGGGGGUGCCGGUACAGAGGCAAUGUGGAGGAUAUAUACAGGGGGUACCGGUAUAGAGGCAAAGUGCGGGGGCACCAGUUAAUCGAGGUAAUAUGUACAUGUAGUUAGAGUUAUUAAAAUGACUAGCUGGUCAAAGAACUCAUCCUAGUAACAGGCC
ensembl:lncRNA